rnacentral:rRNA from 1 species
UACGUACGAGGCGAGCGUUAUCCGGAAUUACUGGGCGUAAAGCGCGCGCAGGUGGCGCGGUAAGUCGGACGUGAAAUCUCCCGGCCUAACUGGGAGGGGUCGUUCGAGACUGCCGGGCUUGAGGACUGCAGAGGUGGGUGGAAUUCCUGGUGUAGUGGUGAAAUGCGUAGAGAUCAGGAGGAACACCGGUGGCAAAGGCGGCCCACUGGGCAGUCACUGACGCUGAGGCGCGAAAGCUCGGGGAG